CAGCUGAGCAUUGCUGUGGGGGAGAGGGGGAAGACGGGAGGAAAGAAGGGAGUGGUUCCAUCGCGCCUCCUCACUCCUCUCCUCCCGUCUUCUCCUCUCCUGCCCUUGUCUCCCUGUCUCAGC
rnacentral:precursor_RNA from 8 species